UUCAGGAUCUGUGAGGGACCGGGUGA
rnacentral:piRNA from 1 species